GCCAACAGGGAUUGCCUCAGUAGCGGCGAGUGAAGCGGCAAGAGCUCAGAUUUGAAAUCUCACCUAGUGUGCGAGUUGUAAAUUGCAGGUUGGAGUCUCGGGUUAGACGUGUGUGCAAGUCCCUUGGAACAGGGUGCCACUGAGGGUGAGAGCCCCGUAUCGUGCAUGUCGACACCUGUGAGGCCCUUCUGACGAGUCGAGUUGUUUGGGAAUGCAGCUCUAAGUGGGUGGUAAAUUCCAUCUAAGGCUAAAUAUUGGCGAGAGACCGAUAGCGAACAAGUACUGUGAAGGAAAGAUGAAAAGCACUUUGAAAAGAGAGUGAAACAGCACGUGAAAUUGUUGAAAGGGAAGGGUAUUGGGCUCGACAUGGGAUUUACGCAUCGUUGCCUCUCGUGGGCGGCGCUCUGGGUUUUUCCUGGGCCAGCAUCGGUUUUCGUUGCAGGAUAAGGACAAUUGGAAUGUGGCUCCUCGGAGUGUUAUAGCCUUUUGUAGAUGCUGCGUAUGGGGACCGAGGGCUGCGGCGGACUCGUUUCGUCUCGGAUGCUGGCACAACGGCGCAAUACCGCCCGUCU
rnacentral:rRNA from 1 species